UACGUAGGGGGCUAGCGUUGUCCGGAAUCAUUGGGCGUAAAGCGCGUGUAGGCGGUCCGGUAAGUCCGCUGUGAAAGUCGGGGGCUCAACCCUCGAAUGCCGGUGGAUACUGUCGGGCUAGAGUGCGGAAGAGGCGAGUGGAAUUCCCGGUGUAGCGGUGAAAUGCGCAGAUAUCGGGAAGAACACCCGGUGGCGAAGGCGGCUCUCUGGGGACGGUACUGACGGCUGAGACGCGAAAGCGUGGGGAGCGAACAGG
rnacentral:rRNA from 1 species